rnacentral:rRNA from 1 species
GUAGGUGGCAAGCGUUGUCCGGAAUUAUUGGGCGUAAAGCGCGCGCAGGCGGUUCUUUAAGUCUGAUGUGAAAGCCCACGGGCUCAACCGUGGAGGGUCAUUGGAAACUGGAGAACUUGAGUACAGAAGAGGAAAGCGGAAUUCCACGUGUAGCGGUGAAGUGCGUAGAGAUGUGGAGGAACACCAGUGGCGAAGGCGGCUUCCUGGUCUGUAACUGACGCUGAGGCGCGAAAGCGUGGGGAGCAAACAGGAUUAGAUACCCUGGUAGUCCACGCCGUAAACGAUGAGUGCUAAGUGUUAGGGGGUUUCCGCCCCUUAGUGCUGCAGCUAACGCAUUAAGCACUCCGCCUGGGGAGUACGGCCGCAAGGCUG